GGAGUCUGGGCCGUAUCUCAGUCCCAAUGUGGCCGUUCAACCUCUCAGUCCGGCUACUGAUCGUCGACUUGGUGGGCCGUUACCUCACCAACUAUCUAAUCAGACGCGAGCCCAUCCUUCAGCAAUAAAUCUUUGGUAUACCGAAGAUGCCUCCAAUAUACGUUAUGCGGUAUUAGCAGCCGUUUCCAGCUGUUGUCCCCCACUGAAGGGCAGGUUGCUCACGUGUUACUCACCCGUCCCGCCACUAAGUCAAAGAAUCCAUUGGCCGAAGCCUCUUUCAUCAGUGCUUCGUUCGACUUGCAUGUGUUAGGCACGCCGCCAGCGUUCAUC
rnacentral:rRNA from 1 species